rnacentral:rRNA from 1 species
AAAUUGAAGAGUUUGAUCAUGGCUCAGAUUGAACGCUGGCGGCAGGCCUAACACAUGCAAGUCGAACGGUAACAGGAAGCAGCUUGCUGCUUUGCUGACGAGUGGCGGACGGGUGAGUAAUGUCUGGGAAACUGCCUGAUGGAGGGGGAUAACUACUGGAAACGGUGGCUAAUACCGCAUAACGUCGCAAGACCAAAGAGGGGGGACCUUCGGGCCUCUUGCCAUCAGAUGUGCCCAGAUGGG